GCAGGUAAGUCAUGACUUUCAUUGGCCAGGUUAUCCUGCCGCCUGACAUUCAUUGGCCAGGUUAUCCUGCUGCCUGACAUUCAUUGGCCAGGUUAUCCUGCUGCCUGACAUUCAUUUGCCAGGUUAUCCUGCUGCCUGACUUGUGCUAGCUGUGGUAGUUUCACUUUCUCAGUUGAUUGGCUGACAAUCAUGCCAGUUAUCCUAGACCAGGAUGGGGAUGUCCUGGUUCUAGAGACACAAGUGUGCUCUGUUUAGUCCAGUCUGUUAGGCAUGUCUGAGCGGAACCAGUGAAUGUCAUUUUCCCUGUCUAGGAAGUAUGGUUCAGUGAUGCUAUAAUGAAAUGCAGAGUAUGGUUGAAUUAUUUCAUAAAGGAAACCAUCGUUUUUUCAGAUUUCAUAGAGGUCAGGCAAAGGUGUGUUUUUAUGAUGUCAUA